CAGCAGCCACGGGAAUACGUAGGGUGCAAGCGUUAAUCGGAAUUACUGGGCGUAAAGCGUGCGCAGGCGGUUUGUUAAGACAGAUGUGAAAUCCCCGGGCUCAACCUGGGAACUGCAUUUGUGACUGGCAAGCUAGGGUGUGGCAGAGGGGGGUGGAAUUCCGCGUGUAGCAGUGAAAUGCGUAGAGAUCGGGAGGAACAUCAGUGGCGAAGGCGGCCAUCUGGGACAACACUGACGCUGAGGCACGAAAGCGUGGGGAGCAAACAGGAUUAGAUACCCCAGUAGUCCCUGUCUCUUAUAC
rnacentral:rRNA from 1 species